rnacentral:rRNA from 1 species
GACGAACGCUGGCGGCGUGCUUAACACAUGCAAGUCGAGGGCACUUCGGGGGCAACCCUGGAGUGACCGGCGAACGGGUGCGUAACACGUGAGCGACCUUGCCUCGUGGUGGGGGAUAGCCGGCCCAACGGCCGGGUAAUACCGCAUAUGGUGGUUCUUUCGCAUGGGAGAACUAGCAAAGCUGUCGGGCAACCGAUGGCGCCACAGGGGGGGCUCGCGGCCUAUCAGCUAGUUGGGGGGAAGUGCCCACCAAGGCGACGACGGGUAGCUGGUCUGAGAGGAUGGCCA